GACGUAGGGGGCCAGCGUUGUUCGGAAUUACUGGGGGUAAAGGGUUCGUAGGCGGUGUGGCAAGUCGGGAGUGAAAUUUCUGGGCUCAACUCAGAGACUGCUUCCGAAACUGCUGUGCUGGAGUGUGGGAGAGGCGCGUGGAAUUGCAGGUGUAGCGGUGAAAUGCGUAGAUAUCUGCAGGAACACCCGUGGCGAAAGCGGCGCGCUGGACCACUACUGACGCUGAGGAACGAAAGCUAGGGGAGCAAACAGG
rnacentral:rRNA from 1 species